UACGUAUGGUGCGAACGUUGUUCGGAAUCACUGGGCAUAAAGAGCACGUAGGCGGUCGAGCAAGUCCAUUGUGAAAUCCCCCGGCUCAACCGGGGAACUGCAGUGGAUACUACUUGACUUGAGUGCAGGAGGGGAGAGUGGAAUUCCAGGUGGAGCGGUGAAAUGCGUAGAUAUCUGGAGGAACGCCGGCGGCGAAAGCGACUCUCUGGUCUGUAACUGACGCUGAGGUGCGAAAGCUAGGGGAGCAAACGGG
rnacentral:rRNA from 1 species